rnacentral:lncRNA from 1 species
AGUAUUUACGAAGUAGCCAUAAAAUCUGAAUACAAGCUCUGUAACUUAAGAUUCUGAUUAUUUAAAAUGAAAAUCCAUACUUAUAAUGGCCAUCAUUGGUGCUUUUCAGCAUGACAACCAGUCAUCAGGAUGGAAACAUGCUGUAUAAGACUUGGAAUUAAAUACAAAUAUUCCUAUUGAAUAUUUGUAUUUAAUUCCAGGUCUCAUAGCUCCAUUACAUUAGGACAUUACUCCAUUAUUACAUUAGGAAUGAUGGCCUGUGGGAUCAUUCCUAACUACUUUGUAUUCAAUAUUAAGAAAGCAGCAUAUAAUAUAAAAGAAAAAUAGUAGCCAUGCUGAUCUUCAAUUCUUUUUAUAAAAAAAAUGAUUAUUUAACUGUUGCUUUUGAAAGAAAAUCUGAAAGAUUUUCUCAUCUAAACAUUUUUUCUUGUAACACUAAAUGUGACUUUCCAAAUCAACUGAAGAUAUGUGAAGAGGAGGGUUUUGAGACCAUUUUUUUAACAAAUAAACAUGGUAAUCUAACAAAUAUGGAUAGUAGUAGCUGUUAUAUUUCCGUUUAAUAUGUACUGAUCUUUCUGAUCUACAAUCUGUACAUUUUAAGAUAUUAAUUCUAUAAUUUUUAAUGGUCAAAAGUAUUUUACAGCCAAUUUUGGACAUCACAUUUGUGCUCCUGACAAUUUUAUGUUGAUUGGUUUUCUAUUUUUAUCAGCUGCAAAAAUUUUUUGUUGUACAUCUUCUAUUUUUUAUCAUUUAAAGUUUGUUAAAUAAUUUUUUUUUAAGAUUCAGAAAAAACAGAUACUUUCAACAUUUGUGAUAUUUUCUGUCAAACACUUCAAUAAAAUUUUAUGUGGAAUCCUGCUCUCUAUUC